rnacentral:rRNA from 1 species
UUAGCCAUAAACAUAAGUAGUUUCAAACAUUACUAUUCGCCAGAGAACUACAAGCCACCGCUUAAAACUCAAAGGACUUGGCGGUGCUUUAUAUCCAUCUAGAGGAGCCUGUUCCAUAACCGAUGAUCCCCGAUCUACCUCACCACUCUUUGCUAAUUCAGCCUAUAUACCGCCAUCUUCAGCUAACCCUAAAAAGGAACCAAAGUAAGCCAAAUAAGUAACCACUAAAGAAGUUAGGUCAAGGUGUAGCCUAUGGAGUGGGGCGAAAUGGGCUACAUUUUCUAUUACUAGAACAUUACGAAACCCUAUGUGAAACUCAUAAGAUAAAGGAGGAUUUAGUAGUAAAUUAAAACUAGAGUGUUUAAUUGAAUAGAGCAAUGAAGCACG